AUGAGUGUCCUUGCACUUUAUCAGGAGUUAAGGCAGAUGUGGAGGCACAACGGGUGAUACCAGACACACACCAAGCACAUUAUGUUCGGACAUUCAAUCAUGACAUGAUCCAGGUGGAUGCUGUCCAUUGAUGAAAGAGUUUGUUCAGCGGUUUCUGGAUAGAAUUAAUUCCAAAGAUGGGAAAAAGUGCACAUCCAGACAAGGAGCAAGCAAAAAGACAAGGAACUUGGUGCAGAGAAAAGCUGUGGUGAUUAACCCCCAUGUGAACAGCUUCAUGCAGUCCCUGAUUGAGUUCGAAUGGACGACUUCAAAGUAAAGGCCACUGUGGUCUGUCUGCCACAGUUUAAUGCAUUUAUUUUUAGUGUUAAAUGAAAUUCAAGUAGAAUAUUUAAAACUAUGGGCCAGUGUUCUUUUUACCACAGUGAAAUGUUACCUUUAAGUCGAUGAUGGACUUUAAACUGAAAACUUCAAACUAUGGAACAGUGUUCUAUUUGCCAGAGUUAAAUAUGUUACA